GACGAACGCUGGCGGCGUGCCUAAUACAUGCAAGUCGAACGCAGUGGGGACGGGUGAGUAACAUGUGGGUAACCUCCCAUCAGAGGGGAUAACAUUUGGAAACAGGUGCUAAACCGAUAUUGCUGGCUGGUCCCGGGGUGCAUUAGCUAGUUGGUGAGGUAACGGCUCACUAAGGCGACGAUGCAUAGCCGGGCUGAGAGGAUGAUCAGCCACACUGGGACUGAGACACGGGCCAGACUCCUACGGGAGGCAGCAGUAGGGAAUAGUCGGCAAUGGGCGAAAGUCUGACCGAGCCACGCCGCGUGAGUGAAGAAGGUUUUCGGAUCGUAAAGCUCUGUUGUUAGAGAGGCGGUAUCUAAACAGAAAGCAACGGCUAACUACGUGCCAGCAGCCGCGGUAAUAC
rnacentral:rRNA from 1 species